CAUUUCAGUAUAAGUCCUCAGUAGUUUAUUCCAACAGUCAGCUUUGGCCUAUGCAUCCUCUACGUAGGGGACCGAUGAACAUAAGUGAAUGAUCCAGUGAAAUAAAUAAAAUAAAAGAAAGCAAAAAGGGAACUCUGGUAUAGGUGACCCUCACAAAGUCAUUUAAACCAAAAAGAUUGUAAAAAUUUGCUACAAAAGAAAAAGAAAAAGAAAAGCUCACCCGCUGUUAGUUGGUUCAGAGGUAUCUGGCACUGAACUCGGUAGGGAGGAUUACAAUCCGAUCCCCCACAAAUGUAGUUGG
rnacentral:lncRNA from 1 species